GACGAACGCUGGCGGCGUGCUUAACACAUGCAAGUCGAACGAUGAAGCCUAGCUUGCUAGGUGGAUUAGUGGCGAACGGGUGAGUAAUACGUGAGUGACCUACCUUUGACUCUGGGAUAAGCCUGGGAAACUGGGUCUAAUACCGGAUACGACCAAUCUCCGCAUGGGGUGUUGGUGGAAAGCGUUAUGGAGUGGUUUUAGAUGGGCUCACGGCCUAUCAGCUUGUUGGUGAGGUAAUGGCUUACCAAGGCGACGACGGGUAGCCGGCCUGAGAGGGUGACCGGCCACACUGGGACUGAGACACGGCCCAGACUCCUACGGGAGGCAGCAGUGGGGAAUAUUGCACAAUGGGCGCAAGCCUGAUGCAGCGACGCCGCGUGAGGGAUGACGGCCUUCGGGUUGUAAACCUCUGUUAACAUCGAAGAAGCGAAAGUGACGGUAGGUGCAGAGAAAGCGCCGGCUAACUACGUG
rnacentral:rRNA from 1 species